rnacentral:rRNA from 1 species
CGCCUCCUGAACCCAACCAUAUAGGAGGUCCCGCCUGCCCUGUGACCAAAAGUUUAACGGCCGCGGUAUUUUAACCGUGCAAAGGUAGCGCAAUCAAUUGUCUUUUAAAUGGAGACCUGUAUGAAUGGCAUAACGAGGGUUUAACUGUCUCUUUUUUCCAGUCAAUGAAACUGAUCUGCCCGUGCAGAAGCGGACAUACUUACACAAGACGAGAAGACCCUAUGGAGCUUUAGACGCCCACCAACUAUGAAAAGUAACCAUGUCAACGGAACUCCAAACAUCAUACCCCUGGUACAAACGUCUUCGGUUGGGGCGACCACGGGGGAAAACGAAGCCCCCGAGAGGAUAGGGGAACACCCUAAAACCAAGAACUACAAUUCUAAGUCACAAAAUGUUUGACCAAUUAAUGAUCCGGCUUACGCCGAUCAACGGACCAAGUUACCCUAGGGAUAACAGCGCAAUCCCCUCCCAGAGUCCAUAUCGACGAGAGGGUUUACGACCUCGAUGUUGGAUCAGGACAUCCUAAUGGUGCAGCCGCUAUUAAGGGUUCGUUUGUUCAACGAUUAAAGUCCU